rnacentral:misc_RNA from 1 species
GCCUGUUCAUUGGAUGAUCGAAUCUCGCGUUCCGUCAUCUCCCCUUCGGUUCCCUGUGUUGCAUACCUUCGCGACGGUAUCCUGUCGGCUAGAAUCGCCCCGUUCCGCCCGACGUCGCGAGCAACAUCGCGACCGAGGGCGAACCGAAAAGCACUCAUCGCGUUCCACCCCGUUCGCGUGACGCGCUGCGGGACACGGCCCGCGAUGACGUGCUCGAAUUCUCGGAUGCGGAACACAAUGCGGGCACGAGGACGUCGAUCCUCCGUUUGCCCCCGAACAAGCGUUCUACGCUCUGUGCGAACGACGUUCUUCCUCGU